UACAGAGGUCCCAAGCGUUGUUCGGAUUCACUGGGCGUAAAGGGUGCGUAGGCGGCGCGGUAAGUCGGGUGUGAAAUCUUGGAGCUUAACUCCGAAACUGCAUUCGAUACUGCCGUGCUUGAGGACUGGAGAGGAGACUGGAAUUUACGGUGUAGCGGUGAAAUGCGCAGAUAUCGGGAGGAACACCAGUGGCGAAGGCGGGUCUCUGGACAGUUCCUGACACUGAGACACGAAGGCCAGGGGAGCAAAGCGGG
rnacentral:rRNA from 1 species